UCAGCAGACCGGGUGAUCGCCCCGCCUUCGCAUUCAACUAGAAAUAGCCUGAGUGCUUCGCGGGGAGGAAAGUCCGAGCUCCACAGAGCGGCGUAGCGGCUAACGGCCGCCCACCGGAAGGUGAGGACAAUCCCUCGGCGCGCCAAAAUCGCAUAAGCGAUUUUGGCUUGCUCGGGAUCAUCGCUUAGCGAAAGCAAUGGCGAUGAGAGCCACAGAGACGAGUCAAAUUUUGCGAAGCAAAAUUUGAUCCUGAAGAGGCGACGAAUAGGAGCCUCUGAAGGAUCUUAAUGGUGCUUCGGCGGCUACAAUCCUCCGAUUUGUCGGAUUGUGUAACGCCGCCUCAGCAUCAAAUUUACUUCGUAAAUUUGGGUGAAACGAGGCAAUCUCUACGCGGAGCAAGACCAAAUAGGGCUCGAACCAGGAGUUGCUCGCUCCUACUGAGAAUCGUCAGUGUCGAGCCGGGUAAGGUCGCUUGAUCCUUGGAGUGAUCCAAGGGCCAGAUAGAUGACCACCUCAUCCCGCGGAUAACGCGGGACCAGACAGAACUCGGCUUACAGGUCUGCUUGACGC
rnacentral:RNase_P_RNA from 1 species